rnacentral:rRNA from 1 species
AUACGAAGGGUGCAAGCGUUGUUCGGAAUUAUUGGGCGUAAAGCGCGCGCAGGCGGGUCAGCAAGUCAGAUGUGAAAUCUCGGGGCUUAACCCCGAAACUGCGUCUGAAACUACUAACCUAGAAUAUCGGAGAGGAAGAUGGAAUUUCGCAUGUAGGGGUAAAAUCCGUAGAGAUGCGAAGGAACACCAGAGGCGAAAGCGAUUUUCUGGACGAUUAUUGACGCUGAGGCGCGAAAGCGUGGGGAGCAAACAGGAUUAGAUACCCUGGUAGUCCACGCCGUAAACGAUGAGAACUAGAUUUGGGGGGAGUUUGACCCCUUCUGAAUCGAAGCGAACGCAUUAAGUUCUCCGCCUGGGAAGUACGGUCGCAAGACUAAA